AUGAAUAGUGAGAAAUUGACUACUAAAAAAUUAAGAACAGAGAAAUAUGAGGGGGCAGUCAAACUAGGAGAACCUCUUCCCAUUCCCUCCUGCUGGAGGCGUGGGUCCGAGAGAGGUCAUGCAGGACUUAGUCGAAGUGUUGCUAUCGUGACUGCUUUUUUGAUGAAGACUGACCUAGUUACCUUUGAAGAAGCCUAUAGAUAUCUCAAGACUAUCAAACCAGAGGCUAAGAUGAACGAGGGGUUUGAGUGGCAACUGAAAUUAUACGAGGCAAUGGAUAAUGAAGUGGAUACCUCUAGUGCAAUUUAUAAGCAAUAUCGUUUACAAAAGGUUACAGAGAAGUAUCCAGAAUUGCAGAAUUUACCACAAGAACUUUUUGCUGUUCACCCAACCACCAUUUCACAAGGAUUGACAGAUCAGGUUGUCUACAGAUGUAGAAAGUGCAGGCGAUCCUUGGUUCAAAGAUCUAGUAUUUUGGAUCAUGAAGAAGGAAAAGGGAUUCAUGACUUUGUCCACAAGAGAUUAAAGCCACAUUCUGUGUAUGACUUUUCAUGUACAUCUUAUUUCAUUGAGCCUGUACAGUGGAUAGAAUCCACUUUGUUGGGAGUGGUGGAUGGACAGCUUCUUUGUCCAAAAUGCAGUGACAAGUUGGGCUCCUUCAACUGGCAUGGUGAACAGUGCUCUUGUGGUAGAUGGAUAACGCCUGCUUUUCAAAUACAUAAGAGUAGAGUGGAUGAAAUGAAAAUGCUGCCAGCUUUAGGAUCACAAUCAGUAACAAUAUGAACUUGUGAUAUUUGAUAGCCUGGGAAGAAACUUGCUGAUAUGUGCUACCCUUGCUUAUUCAUUCAUGGCAGGUUUUAGGCCAUCAACAUUUCAUAUUAAAAGUGAAAAGAUAAAAUCAUCUGAUGUAA